rnacentral:rRNA from 9 species
AAAUUGAAGAGUUUGAUCAUGGCUCAGAUUGAACGCUGGCGGCAGGCCUAACACAUGCAAGUCGAACGGUAACAGGAAGCAGCUUGCUGCUUUGC